GUCUUGUACCGUUCUAGGUACAACUCAUAUCAAUGUUUUUCAUACAAUAUGAAAUACAUAAAUCCCCUUUAUGCGUAUGCAUAAAGGAUUCUAUUUACGCAUUAUUUAUUUGGGAGUCAAAGAGUACGUUCUCUUUGAGAAGAGCAACUUCUUAGUCUCACUAGAGUUGUCCUUCUAAUUGAAGUUUAUCAUCAUAGGAGAAACUUCCUAACAUCUAUUGUCUAUUAUUAGGGAUUGAUAUAAUCCAAUUAUAUCAUGAAAUAUAUCAUUAUAGAUUUCCAUCCCAUGUAUAUAGACUAUAUCUCCCAUAUACAUUCUAUCUUCAUAUAAUGUUUUAAAGUCAUAACUUUAACGAAGAAGUAUUCUUUUCAUUUCCAAAAUUAAUAUAUCAAAUAUAUAUUUAAAUUCAGGAAUAUGAUUAACUCCCACUAAUCUUUUGUAAACCUAGUAAACAAAAGAUUCAUUUACAUCUUUAUGAGAAAUUAAACAAUUUGAACUUUCUCUCAUAAGAUGCAUAUAGCUCCCACUAGCUUGCUAAGAUUCAUGAUGGAUGGAUCUCUACAACUUACAUGUCUUGUGAUUUAUAGUU
rnacentral:lncRNA from 1 species